rnacentral:sRNA from 1 species
AUAUACCACUCGUACACUCCGGUUCCUGUGCGCCGCCCGCACCCACCUGACGACUGCUCGCUACGUUUUGUUAGCC